UACGGAGGGUGCGAGCGUUGUCCGGAAUCAUUGGGCGUAAAGGGCGCGUAGGUGGCCCGGUCAGUCAGUGGUGAAAGCGCGGGGCUCAACUCCGCGUCGGCCAUUGAUACUGCUGGGCUGGAGCACUGUAGAGGCAGGCGGAAUUCCGGGUGUAGCGGUGGAAUGCGUAGAGAUCCGGAAGAACACCGGUGGCGAAGGCGGCCUGCUGGGCAGUUGCUGACACUGAGGCGCGACAGCGUGGGGAGCAAACGGG
rnacentral:rRNA from 1 species